rnacentral:rRNA from 1 species
UACGGAGGGUGCGAGCGUUGUCCGGAAUCACUGGGCGUAAAGGGUGCGUAGGUGGUUAGGUAAGUCCGAUGUGAAAUCUCCAGGCUCAACCUGGAAAUGGCAUUGGAUACUAUUUAGCUUGAGGAGUGGAGGGGGGACUGGAAUUCUCGGUGUAGCAGUGAAAUGCGUAGAUAUCGAGAGGAACACCAGUGGCGAAGGCGAGUCCCUGGACACUUCCUGACACUGAGGCACGAAAGCUAGGGGAGCGAACAGG